GACGAACGCUGGCGGCGUGCCUAACACAUGCAAGUCGAACGGAAAGGCCCCUUUGGGGGUACUCGAGUGGCGAACGGGUGAGUAACACGUGAGUAACCUGCCCUUGACUUCGGGAUAACUUCAGGAAACUGGGGCUAAUACCGGAUAGGAAUCCUUGCUGCAUGGUGGGGGUUGGAAAGCUUCGGCGGUUUUGGAUGGACUCGCGGCUUAUCAGCUUGUUGGUGGGGUAGUGGCUUACCAAGGCUUUGACGGGUAGCCGGCCUGAGAGGGCGACCGGCCACAUUGGGACUGGGAUACGGCCCAGACUCCUACGGGAGGCAGCAGUGGGGAAUAUUGCACAAUGGGCGGAAGCCUGAUGCAGCAACGCCGCGUGCGGGAUGACGGCCUUCGGGUUGUAAACCGCUUUCAGCAGGGGCGAAGCUUGUGGUGACGGUACCUGCAGAAGAAGCACCGGCUAACUACGUG
rnacentral:rRNA from 1 species